rnacentral:rRNA from 1 species
UACAGAGGUCUCAAGCGUUGUUCGGAUUCAUUGGGCGUAAAGGGUGCGUAGGCGGCGGGGCAAGUCUGAUGUGAAAUCCCGGGGCUCAACCCCGGAACUGCAUUGGAUACUGCCUUGCUUGAGUACUGGAGAGGAGACUGGAAUUUACGGUGUAGCAGUGAAAUGCGUAGAGAUCGUAAGGAAGGCCAGUGGCGAAGGCGAGUCUCUGGACAGUAACUGACGCUGAGGCACGAAGGCCAGGGGAGCAAACGGG